rnacentral:tRNA from 1 species
UGCUAAUUAAGUGUCUAUAGCACAUUGACUUUUCGCGCCAAAAGAGUACGUACGUACACUUAGCUAC